rnacentral:lncRNA from 1 species
GUGGAUAUUAGGCGAAGGAUGGAAAUCCAAGUUCUGCAGCCUCCAGCAAGGACACGCGUGCUGGCUUCCGGGACCGGCAGGACUUGGGGGCUGCGGGAGGGCUGCACUCAGCGGCCCUGCCAGCUCAGAGCUUCCUCUCCAACCCAAGCUCCCCCGGGCCGCGCCAGUCUUCUCAGACUCCCCUCUGCUCCAGGCUUCACACCCUCGUCCGCAUCUCUUGGCUGCUGUUCGGACUAUUUCCAGGGCUAGGCCAUCACAGGGGACUGCCAGGAAUUGAAUGCAUGUUUGGAGAGAACCCAGACCAGUCCAGAUAUUUGGAGUUCCAGGCUGGAGGCCUCCGGAAAGUCAAGACAGUCCAUGGGGAACAGCACCCUGGCCGCUGAAGCCCCGCCUCCCCCACCUAAAUCAACACGGCUGUGCACCCCUCCUGCCUGCCCCUUCUGCCCUCUGAACACAGAACACAUCGUCCCUCUCCACCCCCAGGCGUCCCCGAGGCUUCCUUCUGCUCCGUUUCUUCUGAACGUGCACUGCUGUUUCUGCUGUUGGCACAGGUGUGGGGAGUCUGGGCCAGGAAGGGGGGCGCUCACUGCCGAGCAGGUGGAGGCCAACGGGGCCCCUGCCUUCCCUUCCUUCCACCUGCCCCGUGUCCCUCUCUUCCCGCCAGCUCCAGCCCGAUCCCAUCACUCUCUGUCUUCUGCAUUGGUUGGCUGGGAGCUGGAAUACUCCGAGGGUUACUGGCCUUUAAAACACCAAGGACAACACCCUCUAACGACAAGCUCACAGCAGACCUGA